GGUGAAGGCGUAAAUAUCUUACAGGUACCAGAUCCUGUCUAAUCUUGAAAGUUAAGCAGGGCUAUCCCUGGUCAAUAAUUGGAUGAGUGACUGCCAACAAAUACAAGGUGCUGUCAGCU
rnacentral:rRNA from 11 species